rnacentral:rRNA from 1 species
GAUGAACGCUGGCGGCGUGCCUAAUACAUGCAAGUCGAGCGAACAGACGAGGAGCUUGCUCCUCUGACGUUAGCGGCGGACGGGUGAGUAACACGUGGAUAACCUACCUAUAAGACUGGGAUAACUUCGGGAAACCGGAGCUAAUACCGGAUAAUAUAUUGAACCGCAUGGUUCAAUAGUGAAAGACGGUUUUGCUGUCACUUAUAGAUGGAUCCGCGCCGCAUUAGCUAGUUGGUAAGGUAACGGCUUACCAAGGCAACGAUGCGUAGCCGACCUGAGAGGGUGAUCGGCCACACGGGAACUGAGACACGGUCCAGACUCCUACGGGAGGCAGCAGUAGGGAAUCUUCCGCAAUGGGCGAAAGCCUGACGGAGCAAUGCCGCGUGAGUGAUGAAGGUCUUCGGAUCGUAAAACUCUGUUAUUAGGGAAGAACAAAUGUGUAAGUAACUAUGCACGUCUUGACGGUACCUAAUCAGAAAGCCACGGCUAACUACGUG